rnacentral:rRNA from 1 species
UACGUAGGGGACAAGCGUUGUCCGGAUUUACUGGGCGUAAAGGGCACGCAGGCGGUUUUUUAAGUCAGAUGUGAAAGGUCCCGGCUCAACCGGGGAGUUGCAUUUGAAACUGGAAGACUUGAGUAUUGGAGAGGCAAGUGGAAUUCCUGGUGUAGCGGUGAAAUGCGUAGAGAUCAGGAGGAACACCGGUGGCGAAGGCGGCUUGCUGGACAAAUACUGACGCUGAGGUGCGAAAGCGUGGGGAGCAAAC